rnacentral:tRNA from 1 species
UCCCGUCUGGCUCAGUCAGGAGAGUGUGUGACUCUUGAUCUCGGGGUUGUGAGUUCGAGCCCCACGUUGGGUG